GAUGAACGCUGGCGGCGUGCUUAACACAUGCAAGUCGAACGAAGCACCUUAUUCUGAUUUCUUCGGAAUGAAAAAUUUGGUGACUGAGUGGCGGACGGGUGAGUAACGCGUGGGUAACCUGCCUCAUACAGGGGGAUAACAGUUAGAAAUGACUGCUAAUACCGCAUAAGACCACAGUACCGCAUGGUACAGGGGUAAAAACUCCGGUGGUAUGAGAUGGACCCGCGUCUGAUUAGGUAGUUGGUGGGGUAACGGCCUACCAAGCCGACGAUCAGUAGCAGACCUGAGAGGGUGACCGGCCACAUUGGGACUGGGACACGGCCCAAACUCCUACGGGAGGCAGCAGUGGGGAAUAUUGCACAAUGGGGGAAACCCUGAUGCAGCGACGCCGCGUGAGCGAUGAAGUAUUUCGGUAUGUAAAGCUCUAUCAGCAGGGAAGAAAAUGACGGUACCUGACUAAGAAGCACCGGCUAAAUACGUGCCAGCCGCCGCAGUAA
rnacentral:rRNA from 1 species